rnacentral:antisense_RNA from 1 species
AAAAUAAGACAAUUAGUAUCUCUAAUUAUCUUUAAAAUAUUUGAUUGCCUUUUGUGUUAUCUGCCGACCCUUUGAGGUUUUCUUAAUCAAGUUCAUUUUGAGUAAAUAAGGCUCGAUCUUUGAUUCAAUUGUAAAACAAUCAAUUCCACUUAUUAGUGAAAGUGAUUUCAAACCAAGAUAAAGUUUGGGAUUAUCAUCAAACGAUUUAAGGUAUUCCAGAUCUAGAUUUGAUAAACCAAACUGAUAGAUAUUUAAUUUUUCAAGGAUUGAUUUAAUCGUAAUCUCUUGAUCAAAUAACUUAAAAUCCAUCACCCGUUUAUAAAUUCUUAAAGCAUUGCGUGGUGUUCCUUUAGAAUGUUCUGCUAUCUGCACCAUCUCAUCCUUGGUUAACUUAAUCUUUUCUUUAACAUUAAUUGAUCUGAUGAUCUCAAAGAUCUCAUCAUCUUGAUAAUAAUCAAGUUGUAAUAAGAUUCCAAACCGCUCUUCUAACGGAUCGAUGAUCCUGCCAUACAUUGUCGUUGCACCAAUUA